AAGACCUUGCGCUUUUGGAGCGGCCGAUGCCUGAUUAGCUAGUUGGUGGGGUAAUGGCCUACCAAAGCUUCGAUCAGUAGCUGGUCUGAGAGGACGACCAGCCACACUGGGACUGAGACACGGCCCAGACUCCUACGGGAGGCAGCAGUGGGGAAUUUUGGACAAUGGGGGCAACCCUGAUCCAGCCAUGCCGCGUGAGUGAAGAAGGCCUUCGGGUUGUAAAGCUCUUUCAGCCGGAACGAAACGGUUACGGUUAAUACCCGUGACUACUGACGGUACCGGAAGAAGAAGCACCGGCUAACUACGUGCCAGCAGCCGCGGUAAUACGUAGGGUGCAAGCGUUAAUCGGAAUUACUGGGCGUAAAGCGUGCGCAGGUGGUUUUGUAAGUCAGAUGUGAAAUCCCCGGGCUUAACCUGGGAACU
rnacentral:rRNA from 1 species